rnacentral:lncRNA from 11 species
CUUGAGGCCAUUGAUUUAAAGAGGAAUGGCAGCCUUUUUUUGUUUCCCUUGCUUGUUCUGAAAAUGAAACCGACUUUGAUAGGCUUCUGAGCAUUACAGAAUUUAAACGAAAAAGUAUUGGGUACAAGGUCAUCCUGACAUGA